UACGUAGGUGGCAAGCGUUGUCCGGAAUUAUUGGGCGUAAAGCGCGCGCAGGCGGUCUCUUAAGUCUGAUGUGAAAGCCCACGGCUCAACCGUGGAGGGUCAUUGGAAACUGGGAGACUUGAGUGCAGAAGAGAAGAGUGGAAUUCCACGUGUAGCGGUGAAAUGCGUAGAGAUGUGGAGGAACACCAGUGGCGAAGGCGACUCUUUGGUCAAUACUGACGCUCAUGCACGAAAGCGUGGGGAGCAAACAGG
rnacentral:rRNA from 1 species